UUUCUGGAUGAUCAUGACAUACACGUAGACAUGCCCAUGGUCAUUCAGCUGGGCCACGACGCCUGGUAUUUCACUGAUCACAUAAUACACAUACUCCGAAUAGACAUCAUCGCGGCUCGUCUGGGUGGACAGCACGAACAAUUCGACGAACUUCUUUAGUUCAAUUUGAAAGCCAAAAUGGGCCGUGGACCGCAGCGCAGGUACUGUACAUUGUGCCCUGGAACCGCUUUAAAGGGGGGACAUUCAAUAUGGAGGCCAGUAGUUUCUCCUGCACAUCGAUCAAAUCUUUUUUGUCGUCGCGACAGCCAUUGAUGAUAGUCAGAGUGCCAUUUGGCCAGCGCCGCGAUAACCGAAUGUGCUCCGAGUGCUGGUGAUGAUUCUCGAUCUUUUGCAGGACAUUGAUGUGAUUCUUGCAGUCGAAUCGUGAUAGAUUUUUGGUCGCCGACUUGAGAUCGAUUUUCUGCUUCAAAUGCUUUAAUACUUCAAUUCAAUCUGCAUGGUCAGGGUUUCCAAGGUUAGGG
rnacentral:lncRNA from 1 species